GCCUGAGUGCACAGUGGUAGUGCUGUGACCUCAGAGCGAGAAGGUUGUGGGUUUAAAACCCACCUGGGGCC